rnacentral:rRNA from 1 species
AUGAACGCUAGCUACAGGCUUAACACCUGCAAGUCGAGGGGAAACGACAUCGAAAGCUUGCUUUUGAUGGGCGUCGACCGGCGCACGGGUGAGUAACGCGUAUCCAACCUGCCCAUCACUUGGGAAUAACCUUGCGAAAGUAAGACUAAUACCCAAUGACAUCCCACGAAGACAUCUGAAUGGGAUUAAAGAUUUAUCGGUGAUGGAUGGGGAUGCGUCUGAUUAGCUUGUUGGCGGGGUAACGGCCCACCAAGGCAACGAUCAGUAGGGGUUCUGAGAGGAAGGUCCCCCACAUUGGAACUGAGACACGGUCCAAACUCCUACGGGAGGCAGCAGUGAGGAAUAUUGGUCAAUGGGCGAGAGCCUGAACCAGCCAAGUAGCGUGCAGGAUGACGGCCCUAUGGGUUGUAAACUGCUUUUAUAAGGGAAUAAAGUGGGUCUCGUGAGACUUUUUGCAUGUACCUUAUGAAUAAGGACCGGCUAAUUCCGUG